GAGUAAUGUCUGGGAAACUGCCUGAUGGAGGGGGAUAACUACUGGAAACGGUAGCUAAUACCGCAUAACGUCGCAAGACCAAAGAGGGGGACCUUCGGGCCUCUUGCCAUCGGAUGUGCCCAGAUGGGAUUAGCUAGUAGGUGGGGUAACGGCUCACCUAGGCGACGAUCCCUAGCUGGUCUGAGAGGAUGACCAGCCACACUGGAACUGAGACACGGUCCAGACUCCUACGGGAGGCAGCAGUGGGGAAUAUUGCACAAUGGGCGCAAGCCUGAUGCAGCCAUGCCGCGUGUAUGAAGAAGGCCUUCGGGUUGUAAAGUACUUUCAGCGGGG
rnacentral:rRNA from 1 species